GCCGGUGUUUUAUUUGAAUGUGUCCUACCUCUUCCCAUUCCGAACAGAGAAGUAAAAGCAUUCAAAUCCGAUGAUACUUAGGGUUAAGUCUCUUUGGAAAGUAGGAUGUGCCGGCA
rnacentral:rRNA from 1 species